AGACUCCUGAGAGUGACCCCAGCUCUGUGACCGUGACUCACUCCUCUCCAGGAGCAGCAGAUACACUGCUCAUCCUCUCCAUCAAAGGAUGUGGGGAACUGUUCUGGGUCCCAAAGCUUCAGCAGUGGCCUUGGGCUAUUGACACACAGACAGGGAGAGCAGGGCAAAGGUCAGCUCUGCCUCCUCCGGGAAGGGCUGAGUUCUGGAGCAGCUGAUGGCUGAGCCACCAAAGCCUGAAGGAAGAGACAAAGCCAAGAGGGUGGCAGAACUGCAAAGCUGCAAGAGACCCGGGAAACCAAACCAGCUAGGACCUACCUGGUCCAGGGAAGGUGUUCUCAUCCCACUGGCUGGCUUUCCCUUGCCGAGGUGCAUCCUCCUCCAGAGGGUGCACUGACUUCCCAGGUGAAGCUAAGAGCCUCACUGGGCGUUCCUACAUGCCUCAUCCCAUAGUGCUUCCAAGUCUUCUCCUAUCCCUAAGCCUUUAGAAUUUUCCCAAGAUCAGAUUAAUUUGCAAUAUAAACCUCAGGCUUGGCA
rnacentral:lncRNA from 1 species